GCCAAUCAGAACACUAACCUCUCCCUAUCCCCUAGUCAAGAAGGUAAAAUAGUCUGAGUAUACUUCCCUCAGUUUUAAGUAUCCUUAAUUUUCUGUUAUUUCUGUUUUUGAAGGCGGGGAGCACGUAGGCAAGGCUUAUGGCUAAGAUCUAUCGUGUCUCCUCCGUGGUUGGCAAGGAGCGAGUGAGCUGGGAGCGAUGCUUUCGCGUCGGGAGCUGGCAAACAACAUGGCAGCGACCGGACGGGCAUCAUCCCGCGUGCUUCUGCGCAUCAUUGCGCAGGGCGUGCUUCCUGUCCCUUAUCCAAGAAAACCGAGGUGCCACCACCCCAGAGGCAAAUGCAGUCAAGUCUCCAGCUCUGAUUUCGGAGAUGUGCUGGUAACUGGAAAUCAGCCUGCUGGGAUGUUUUACACCAUGGAAAUCAACAGAUAUUAUCAGUUGGGACUUUACCUGUUUUGUGGAUUAUCUAGAUUUAAGAACAUCUUGAAGAAAACAAGUGUGAUGUAUCUGUAACUAUUAUACUGUGAAUAGCCUGAAAUAUUAAAGAAAUAUUCUUCUGGUAUUUGAAAACUAUUAUCUGCUUCAGCAAACUAGUUGCUCAUGUCAUUGACAUCUGAGCAAUGUUUUGACAUACUUUUCCUUACUUCAUGAAAAGAAAAGAACCAAGUUUAGGGAAGGACUAUACUCAUUGGUCAAUGGUAUGAAUGAUUUCUGUGAUGAAAUGGAUAGUAAUCAGUUAUUUGCAGUUUGAUUUUGUAACACUAUUGUUGGCAAUAAAAUUAUAAAAAUAAACAG
rnacentral:lncRNA from 1 species